rnacentral:sRNA from 12 species
CCUGUGGACUGUCAUAUCAAAUGUUAUUAGUAUGGGAAACUGUACGAGGACAGACAGGGGGAAGCAGGAA